CAGAAAGAGAUUAUGAAAUUAUUAGUAAUGAUAUCUCUUUGUUGCCACGAUUUAAAGAACACAGUCAAAUGGUAAAGCAGAGACUUUCAAAAGCCGUGCAGCUCAAGUUUGUACUGGAACCGGAUACAAUAUUAUUUGAUGAAGGUAGUCCUGGCGAUGCUUACUACGUCAUUCUCAAAGGAUCUGU